GUUAAAAAGCUCGUAGUUGGAUUUCUGGUCUGAGACGUUUAGUCCGGCGCUGUGCGUUGUGUACUUGAAUGACUUGGACCUUCCUUGUAGGGAAUAUGUGUGGUCUUAAUUGAUCGUGCAUGGGAACUGCAUCGUUUACUGUGAAAAAAUUAGAGUGUUUAAAGCAGGCAUUUGCUGUGAAUACAUUAGCAUGGAAUAAUUAGAUAGGACUUUGGUACUGUUUUGUUGGUUGGAGGCCAAGGUAAUGAUUAAUAGGGAUAGUUGGGGGUAUUCAUAUUUAAUUGUCAGAGGUGAAAUUCUUGGAUUUAUGAAAGAUGAACUUAUGCGAAAGCAUUUACCAAGGAUGUUUUCAUUAAUCAAGAACGAAAGUUAGGGGAUCGAAGAGGAUUAGAUACCCUCGUAGUCUUAACCAUAAACUAUGCCGACUCGGGAUUGGAGAUUGUAUUUAAUGACAUCUUCAGCACCGUAUGAGAAAUCAAAGUCUUUGGGUUCCGGGGGGAGUAUGGUCGCAAGGCUGAAACUUAAAGGAAUUGACGGAAGGGCACCACCAGGAGUGGAGCCUGCGGCUUAAUUGACUCAACACGGGAAACUCACCAGGUC
rnacentral:rRNA from 1 species